UGGAGUUGGUCAGACAUGCGAUGAACACCGCAUAUUUUUGUAUUAAUUUUGAUUUUGAUUUUAUUGAGAUCCUCCUCAAGUAGUGUUCAAAUUUAUUAGAUGAGAUUUUAAAUUUUAAGCUGUUGUCUGUAAAACAGUUAUUCUCGUGAGAAGCAGCUCAUCAACAAAAUCACAAGUAUGCAUAAACAUACCGACUGAGAGGAGCUGAUGAAGUUGUCUAGGAUGGCUAACACCUCGAUUCUUCUGAAUGAAUUGACAUGAAUCUGAUGUCUGAUCUCUGUUCCUGCCGGAGAGAAGCAUCAAUGGUUUCUGGUAGGCAUCUUCAUAUGAGCUCCUCGACUGCUGCUGUACUUCAUUACCACAGGUUGAUUGGAGAUGGAAGAUAUACUUGAAGUUACACGUUUGAAGGACUUAAUUCUUGGCUCAAAUAUAGUUCCCCUUGCUUUCUUGUAUCACUUGCAUUGCUCUUUCUAUGAGUAUGGGAGAGAAGUAUUUGUGUGUUCAACAGUGAUCCAACUAAAUUAUCUGGCUGUCUGUGGGUGCUGGAUGCCUGCUGAUGGAGCAACAACACUCUGCGACCACUUUUGGGAGCCUUUUUUGGUUGUCCAUAAGAAGAGUUUGUCCAUUCAAGUGUAAAUGCAAUGCAUUUAAAAUUGAUCUAUAUUUUUUAUGCUAUACUUUCUCGAACAUCUGAUAAAUUUUCUUUUUCUUUGCAUUGGAGCUUUUCAAUUCUUUGAGACUGGUUUCUUGUUUGAUCAAUGUACUGUUCAGACACUUCCUCUGAGUUUUUCCCCUGGUUUAUUUUUUUGGUUUUCAGAGAAAGAAAGGAGAUGCAAUUGGAGACAGAUUACAUUAAGUUCAGAGCAUCUCCAACAAUAAGAGCUUGCAGAACAAUCUCAUGCCUGUUUAAUGGAGUGGGGUGGUUAAAGAUUGGUGCAGAUUCAAGGAGAUGAUAUCCACAUCCAUCACAACUAGUAUCGAGGUUCAUUAUCAUCCCUUUCUUUGGUAAAAUCUUUCUUUCAAGAAGUGCUG